GGGGUUUUUCUCCCGGCUUCCGCCGCCAACAGGAAUGAGGAGGAGGCUUUUCUUCCUCCUUCCCGCGCUUCUCACCGGCGCUGGCACCGGUCGUCAGCCACCACCUCUUCUCCUCUCCCUCUCCUCAUCGUGCCGCCAUCUUUCCUCUCGACACCAGCCAACCUUUCUCGCGCCUGCUCCCCCGCGUGACGCCGCCGUCGGAGAGACCUGCUACUGCCCUUCUCCUCCUCGGCGGCGCCGAUGCCGACUGCCACCUCUUCUCCUCUCCUGUUUCUCCUCGUGACUCUACCACUGGGCUGAUUCGCCGCUACUGCUCCUCUCCUCCUUUUCCCCGCGGACUCCGCCUCUCGUCCUCCUUGCGAUGCCGCCGCCAACACAACCACUUCGCUGCCUCCCCUCUCACCGGCAACACACGUGCUUGUUCCUCAUGCCGACAACCCUCCGACGCUCCACUCCUCCUUGGCGUUUGGAGAGGCUGCUGCCACCCCUAGCCCUUGCGCAGCCGCCACCUCCAGCGGCAACAAGCGGCGGCUGUCGGCCGAUCGCACAACCUCCCUCUGCAUGCUGAUAGCCCAAAUGCUGCCUCCAUGCUACCUCCCUCUCCCUCGGUCUUCGGUGGCCAAAUGCAGCCUCAAUCCGGAUUCUACGGGUCCCCUAGCACCGAGCUGCCCACCAUUAUCGUUGUCACUGAUUUGAUUGUGGUUCGUUCCCGUUGUGGUCCGGCCUUCGUGUCGUUGCCUUGUUCCAACUUUAUGUGUUGUUGUAUGUCAGCGUGCGACCUACUGUUAUCCCGAGCCUGCGUGCCGAUCUCGUGUCUCGGCUUGCGUGCCGAUCUCGUGUCCCGGCCUACAUGCCGAUCUCGUGUCCCGGCUUGCGUGCCGAUCUCGUGUCCCAACCUGUAUGUCGAUCUCGUGUCCCGACUUGCGUGCUGAUCUCGUGUCCUGGCCUGCGUGCCGAUCUCGCUUCCCAGUCCGCGUAUCGUCUUCCAGAUCCAGGCCGCAUUCGGCUCCGUGCCGCUAGACCCAGCUUCACAUCUGGCUCCGAGUCAUCUGCUCUUCCGAGUCGUGAUAACUCGAGUAGCGUCCCAUCCGAGGACAUCUCCUGGGCCAGGGGACCGGGGGACUCGGUCGCUGGCUACAGAUAACGUUGACUAGAGAACUUUUGAAGACUUGAUCAACACGGAAGUCAUCUCAGCACACCCCCCUCCGGGACACCGCGACUUGAUCAACAUUCUCGCCACCUCACCCAAUGGUCCAUCCGACUCAAAUUCCGGACAAGAUAAUAUAUAUAUAUAUAAUGGUUAAACCAUCGGUUCGAUCGGUUAAAUCUUAAAAAUCUCAAUUCGAUCAUCGUACCGGUUCAAUGACAGAUCCUAUUCUCAAAACAUUGGUGCCAAGGACUCUUUCACCUGCUUCACGAUGUCAGUCAUGCUUGGCCUCUGAUGGGACGACUGCAAGGUGCAUCUCAGUGCGACAUCAGAGCACUUCCAGACCGAGUUUAUGUCACAGUUCCCUCGCAGCCUGGCAUCGACGAAUCUUCGAUGUCUCCUCUGACAAGUUUCUGCCGCACCAUUUGAGCUACAUUUGUAUUCUCAUUCUCUACAGUUCGCAUAAGUGGAGGUUGCCCUGUGACCAGCUCCAAGAGAACUACCCCCGAAGCUGUACACAUCACUUUUUUCGCUGAGUUUGAAGGCAUCAUAAUACCUGCACAAGUUAGUUCACUAAAUGUUCUAUUCAAACAAAACCGAAGAAGUGAGAAGAACAAUAACAUACGUACUCUGGAUCAAGGUAUCUUGGAGUUCCCACCACUGCUGUGAAUAUAUGGCUGUUUGUCUCACUUUGGAAAACUUGACACCCCAAAAUCAGCUAUUUUGGCCUCCAGAUUCUCGCUCAAUAGGAUAUUUGCCGUCUUGACAUCCCUGUGAAUCAGUGGCGGCUUGCAUCCCUUGUCCAAGUACUUCAGCCCUGUAUCUCAAUGAAAUUUGUAAGUUUAGAUGAAUUGGGGGAAAGGAGAAAGAAAAUUUGAGUAUAGCAAACCUUGUGCAGCUUCGCGUACAAUCUGGAGACGCUGCCCCCAACUUAAAGUUCUUGUCCUGGCUGUUCUGCCUGUAUAAUUUUAUAUGAACCUGUCAUCAUCUUUUGAAGGAA